rnacentral:misc_RNA from 1 species
UUUCCGUAGGUGAACCUGCGGAAGGAUCAUUAAUAAAUUUUUUUUUGAAAUAAAAAAAAAAUAAUAAUCAUCCCUACCCUUUGUGAAUUUGUUUUGUUGAAUAAUUUUUUAAAAUUAUUUAUUGUCUAUCCAAGUUGGAAAGUUGUAAAAGACUAGAAGACUUGGGGCGGCAUAAAUAAAUUUAAAGACUUUUUUCUGAAAUUAAACUUUUUGUAUUCAUUUGUCCAAAAUAAUUUUUAUAAUAUAUAAAAACAACUUUUGACAAUGGAUCUCUUGGUUCUCGCAACGAUGAAGAACGCAACAAAAUGCGAUAAGUAAUGUGAAUUGCAGAAUACGUGAAUCAUCGAAUCUUCGAACGCAUAUUGCACUUUUUUAGUUUACUAAAAAAGUAUGUCUGUUUGAGUAUCAGUAAAAUAUUCUCAUAAAAUUUUUAAUUUUAUGGUUAUGAGUGUUUUACAACGAUAAACAAGUUGUUUCACUUUAAAUUGAAUUUUUUUGAAGAAAUUCUUUAAUUCAAAUUAAAUUUGGAUAAAAUUUUCCCGUAAAAAGGAAUAACUAUACAAGUUUAAUAAGAAUUUAGUGAUUUCUUUUAUGAAAAGGAAAUUUAUUAAAUAACUUGAUCUCAAAUCAGAUAAGAGUACCCGCUGAACUUAAGCAUAUCAAUAAGCGGAGGAAAAGAAACUAACAAGGAUUCCCUAGUAACGGCGAGUGAAGCGGGAAGAGCUCAAAUUUGAAAUCUUAAAGGGUUUCCCUUUACGAAUUGUAGUUUAAAGAAGUGUUUUCUGUUGAGGUUUUGGUAAAAGUUCUUUGGAAUAGGACAUCAUAGAGGGUGAGAAUCCCGUAUUUGACCUUUACUUUCAAUUUGUGAUACACUUUCAAAGAGUCGGAUUGUUUGGGAAUGCAGUCCAAAAUGGGUGGUAAAUUUCAUCUAAAGAUAAAUAUUGGCGAGAGACCGAUAGCGAACAAGUACCGUGAGGGAAAGAUGAAAAGAACUUUGAAAAGAGAGUUAAACAGUACGUGAAAUUGUCAAAAGGGAAGCGUUUGACACCAGUGUUGUUUUUCUGAAAAUCAAUUAAAGAACUGUUUAUGCUAAGUUGUUUAGACUUUAUCAGCUAACUGUUUAGUUUUGAGCUUUUCUUUAAUGCACUUUUCAGUUAACAAGUCAACGUCAAUUUCUUUUGCUGUAAAAAAGCUUGAGGAAGGUGGCUUGAGAUUCGUCUUAAGUGUUUAUAGCCUCUUGCCUAUGCAGUCGGAGAGAUUGAGGUCUGCAGCGUAGAUCCUUCGGGGCUAAAUGCAUUUGUGCUAAGUUAUAGCAUUUUAUAGACAACUUGUUGACUAUGAUUUGUCUUGUAGCUUACUCGCUUAUGUUAUUU